AUUGAACGCUGGCGGCAGGCCUAACACAUGCAAGUCGAGCGGAUGAAGGGAGCUUGCUCCUGGAUUCAGCGGCGGACGGGUGAGUAAUGCCUAGGAAUCUGCCUGGUAGUGGGGGAUAACGUCCGGAAACGGGCGCUAAUACCGCAUACGUCCUGAGGGAGAAAGUGGGGGAUCUUCGGACCUCACGCUAUCAGAUGAGCCUAGGUCGGAUUAGCUAGUUGGUGGGGUAAAGGCCUACCAAGGCGACGAUCCGUAACUGGUCUGAGAGGAUGAUCAGUCACACUGGAACUGAGACACGGUCCAGACUCCUACGGGAGGCAGCAGUGGGGAAUAUUGGACAAUGGGCGAAAGCCUGAUCCAGCCAUGCCGCGUGUGUGAAGAAGGUCUUCGGAUUGUAAAGCUCUUUAAGUUGGGAGGAAGGGCAGUAAGUUAAUACCUUGCUGUUUUGACGGUACCAACAGAAUAAGCACCGGCUAACUUCGUG
rnacentral:rRNA from 1 species